rnacentral:rRNA from 1 species
AUGGAGGAUGCUUCCGAGGAGAUUUCCCAGCGGCUCCGUCCAGAGAAGAAACCGUGUGCCGAUGGCGAAUCGCAGCAGCAUUUGCCGGCAUCCAUGGUGCUCGACGACGACAACCUCCUCAUUGAGAUCCUCAGCUUCCCCACCACACUUGUAUGCGCCACCCUCGUCUGCAAGCGCUGGCUCUGCCAUGCCUCUGACCCUAAGUUCCUCAGCCUGUUCCGCAAGCGCCACCCGCCUCGCGUCCUUGGCUUCUACAUAUAUGGAGGGUCGGCCUGGAUAUGGUUGGGCGCCCCCCUGCUCUUCGUCCCCAUGCAGCCCCAGCCCCCAGAGCUCGCCCCCUUCAUCUCCCGUGUCGCGAGCCAUAGCUUCGGCGCCGACAAUGACAGAUUAUGCAUCAUGGAUUGCCGGAAUGGCAGCGUCUUAACCAGAUGCCGCAGAGGAACAAUAUUGACACAUGGAGUGCACCGCCCACUAUGCCCUCAGAGAGACAUGGAUGUCAUCCCACCACUCCCAAGAGCCCAGUACCAUGGUCAACAAAUUUUCAAUACAAUCCUCUCCAAAGAAGAAGGCGGUGUCUUGUCCUACCUGUAUAUGUUGGCGGAGUUUUUCAGCAAGACAAAAAGUUUCAGGGUGCGAGUCUAUAUGUUGCAAGGUGGCGUCUGGUGCAUGCAUGCCUCGGCCACGACACAGCUCCCUCGUCUGCUGACGUCACUGGCAGUUGUGCUUGUUGACGAUAAAAUCUAUAUGGCUGACACCUUCAGUGAUGAAAUUAUUGUCUUGGAUAUGACAACCUCGGGUUUCUCCACAAUUCUGCUCCCACAAGGAGUGAAUUUUCACUGUGUUCGCACCAUCAUGUCACGUGCCGGUGAUGCUUCUGGUGUAUAUCUCACCCAUAUCCAUGUCAAGGAGCUACAGCUUUGCAUCUGGCUCCACAAAGGGGACAACUGGUUGUUGGUUGAUACAAUUUGUUUGCAUCAGAUGUGGGAUAAUUUGAUGAUGCUGGAUCAGACCUUGAGGAUGAGCAUAUUAGUUUUAAUUGUAUAA